UACGUAGGGGGCAAGCGUUGUCCGGAUUUAUUGGGCGUAAAGAGCGUGUAGGCGGCCAGGUAGGUCUGCUGUGAAAACUCGAGGCUUAACCUCGAGCUGUCGGCGGAAACCAUCUGGCUAGAGUCCGGAAGAGGAGAAUGGAAUUCCCGGUGUAGCUGUGAAAUGCGCAGAUAUCGGGAAGAACACCCGUGGCGAAGGCGGUUCUCUGGGACGGUACUGACGCUGAGACGCGAAAGCGUGGGGAGCGAACAGG
rnacentral:rRNA from 1 species